UACGUAGGGAGCAAGCGUUGUCCGGAAUCAUUGGGCGUAAAGCGCGCGUAGGUGGCCAUGUAAGUCCGCUGUGAAAGUCAAAGGCUCAACCUUUGAAAGCCGGUGGAUACUGCAUGGCUAGAGUACGGAAGAGGCGAGUGGAAUUCCUGGUGUAGCGGUGAAAUGCGUAGAUAUCAGGAGGAACACCUGUGGCGAAAGCGGCUCACUGGACCACAACUGACGCUGAGGCGCGAAAGCUAGGGGAGCAAACAGG
rnacentral:rRNA from 1 species